rnacentral:rRNA from 1 species
CCCUUAGAUGUUCUGGGCCGCACGCGUGCUACACUGAGUGGAUCAGCGGGUCAGGUUGCGCGAAAGCGUUUCCUAAUCUUUAAAUCCGCUCGUGAUGGGGAUUGACGGUUGCAAUUUUCCGUCAUGAACGAGGAAUACCUUGUAAGCGCGGGUCAUCAUCCCGCGCUGAAUACGUCCCUGCCCUUUGUACACACCGCCCGUCGCUCCUACCGAUUGAGUGGUCCGGUGAGGCUUUGGGAUCUAAGCGAAAAGAGCGUUUCGCUCCUUUUGCUGGGAGAACUCAGUCGAACCUUAUCAUUUAGAGGAAGGAGAAGUCGUAACA